UACAGAGGGUGCAAGCGUUAAUCGGAAUUACUGGGCGUAAAGCGUGUGUAGGUGGUUUGCUAAGUCAGGUGUGAAAUCCCCAGGCUCAACCUGGGAACUGCAUUUGAUACUGGCAGGCUAGAGUGUGGUAGAGGAUGGUGGAAUUCCCGGUGUAGCGGUGAAAUGCGUAGAUAUCGGGAGGAACAUCAGUGGCGAAGGCGGCCAUCUGGACUAACACUGACACUGAGACACGAAAGCGUGGGGAGCAAACAGG
rnacentral:rRNA from 1 species